rnacentral:rRNA from 1 species
UACGAAGGGGGCUAGCGUUGCUCGGAAUCACUGGGCGUAAAGGGUGCGUAGGCGGGUCUUUAAGUCAGGGGUGAAAUCCUGGAGCUCAACUCCAGAACUGCCUUUGAUACUGAGGAUCUUGAGUACGGGAGAGGUGAGUGGAACUGCGAGUGUAGAGGUGAAAUGCGUAGAGAUCCGGAGGAACCCCAGAGGCGAAGGCGGCGACCUGGGUCGAUACUGACGCUGAGGAGCGAAAGCGUGGGGAGCGAACGGG